GUUGCAUCAGUGUUCAGUACACAGUCGUCUGCGAACUAUCAAACAGUCUUAAUAUUUCGUUGAAAAUUAUCAUAAAUAAAAAAAAAAUUCGUUGACUCAACCUGAAUCAAGGAUUUAAGCAAAAAAAUCUAUUUUACACAAGGUUUAAAAAUAUUAUCCAUAUAUGUUUUGAAAGCAAUCGUCAAGUAAAAAUGGCUAAAAAUUACGUUCCUGCUUUUGAAACUAUCAUUGGAGCAGUUCCAAAUGAAGAAGUACCCUCAUCAACAAUAAUGGGUAGAUGGACAGCAUCCGUACCAUAUUCAGAUGGUGCAGAAAAGCUCUAUUUCCAAAUAAAGAAGGAGAAGAUUUAUCAAUAAUACCUGUGAAUACCUGGUAGAUGGAGACAUUUCUUACCAUAUUUAAAAGGUGGAGAUAAUAAAGUCAAAGAAUUUUUUUUAAUAACGGCCAAUAUGACGAACAUUACUGUUCCGUCAUUGUGAAAACUCGUAGUAUUGUUUUGAAGAGCUAUAAAAGAUGCAGAACUGGAGAAAAUCGACUUAUUAAUUAGCUUUUUAAAUAUUAUUUGUCGAAUAA